rnacentral:rRNA from 1 species
GAUGAACGCUGGCGGCGUGCUUAACACAUGCAAGUCGAACGGUGAACACGGAGCUUGCUCUGUGGGAUCAGUGGCGAACGGGUGAGUAACACGUGAGCAACCUGCCCCUGACUCUGGGAUAAGCGCUGGAAACGGCGUCUAAUACUGGAUAUGUGACGUGAUCGCAUGGUCUGCGUCUGGAAAGAAUUUCGGUUGGGGAUGGGCUCGCGGCCUAUCAGCUUGUUGGUGAGGUAAUGGCUCACCAAGGCGUCGACGGGUAGCCGGCCUGAGAGGGUGACCGGCCACACUGGGACUGAGAGACGGAGCAGACUCCUACGGGAGGCAGCAGUGGGGAAUAUUGCACAAUGGGCGCAAGCCUGAUGCAGCAACGCCGCGUGAGGGAUGACGGCCUUCGGGGUGUAAACCUCUUUUAGCAGGGAAGAAGCGAAAGUGACGGUACCUGCAGAAAAAGCGCCGGCUAACUACGUG